rnacentral:misc_RNA from 1 species
GUUCGUUGCUCGUAGCAUCAAGAACCUUCUGUUCUAUGCCAGGGACCUUCAGAACAUUCUUGUUUACCCCUCUCUUGAGUUCCCUAACAGUCUGGCCGAUUGCUUUCUUCAUGGCUCAGAGGGGAUAAAGAGCACAGUUCUCGUCCAAUGCAAUGUGGUCCAGUCUCCAGCAACCACUUGUAAGGUUCUUGACCUGAGAUCCCGCCGGUAGCGGCCGGAGAGAGAUCAGUAGCUGCUAAUGAGAGGCGGCGGCGACGG